rnacentral:lncRNA from 1 species
CAAACUUGAAGCCAAACUGCUGGAAAGCUCCAUUAACUUUUCCUGGCCUCCAAAUGCUCUCAACUCUCUUCCAGCUUCACCUCUGCUGGACAUUAGAUCCACUCCACAUAGCUACUACCCCCCAACAGCCAUCCCAUGACCGCUGCUGUCACCAAACUGAGGCUAAGGGCUAAAGAAACAUAAAUGGGGACAGCAGGAGAUUUAAAGCAUGAAAACUUUCUCUGAAGUGAGAUUCACCUUCAGCAACUCUGUGAAUAGGCAAGCAAAAGCAGAAGGAGAAUGGAGGAGAGAAGCCAAAACAAAACGUCAAGCAAGAGGAAAAGGAUUUGGAGUGAGAGGUGUGCGACAAGGUCUGCUGGAAAUGGAAUCACUUUGAGGCAAUCAUCACAGACACAGGCACAAGUGAAACAAUAGACCGUUACGGUUUCCUUCUGACGCACUUGCGUGGAUGUGAUCCAGUUGGCUAUUCACACUAUUUUAAAGACAGCAUAUAUUUACCCACUCAGCUCUGCUCCAAGGAACAUUAAACACAAUGCUGCACAUGAUUUUGUUCAGGAGGGCUGCAGAUGGCUGUGAUGAGGGAAAGUCGGUGGCUAACGCUGACAUAUGCACCAUGACAAUGCACUGUCCAGGAAAACAAAGUAAGCCAGCCAGCUUUACAACCAUUGGACUAGGAGACGGCUCCAAAGUCAUUCCAGUACUGGCAGUACAGCUAAGCCAGAGUUCUCCUAUAAGCCAGAUGACACAGUUGGAAAAAUAUAUUACAGAGCUUGUUAUCCAUUCUCUGGACCUGCCAAAUUUGCCCAUGUGGGACCACAGGUGCUGGCUCAACACAAGGAGGGAAAGAAUGAAAAAAGACAGCAAGAUGAAGAAUAUUAGGAAAGGUGGCAGUAAGUAUCAUCAAACCAGUGCUGAAGUUACUGCAAAUGCCAAUUUCUGGUGAAAGGACUACAAUCUUUAUGAAUCCCAAUUCAGAUAAAAGACUACUUAUUAAUAUGUGUAUGGAUGGAGAUUUACAAACCCUUCAAAUCCAGCCUGGGUUGCUCCAUUUUUUAACAGAUAUGAAUAUGACACUUGUCAAAACGUGCGCAGGAACAAAGCACUAGGAAAGUACAUCCUUCAGCUUUAGUGGCAAAGAACCCCCUUUUGGCAGUUCACCAUGAAGAAGCAACUCCCUAAAGUUUCUUACUUGUGGUGUGGACAGGCUAACACACUCUACUCCAGAUUCCAAGCCGGUCAGAUGCAAUCCACUUCCCUUCUGGAAGUUGUAUAGAUAAGUACCACACUGAAAAGCAGGAUAUGUUAACCAGAGCUCAUUGUUGUGUUAACAUGGCUGUGUGGCUUCUGGAGCUGAGAAGAAAGAAGCUGAGGUCUCUGUGAACCACACAAAUGUAACCAAGGAGGAAUUCAUCUAGUGACUGCACCGACCUGAUCUUUCUUCCUAGCAAGAGAUCUAAAGCAGAGUUGUCCUUUACUGAGUACAACAUUUCAGUUCCUCAGGCUGGCCUGAGGAUGUUGGCUGCCAAUGAGACAAAUCCCUAGCAACACACAGAUCAGCACUAUAUUUGUCACUGGGAAUCAAGCAUGGGAAUUUUAGAAUCAGAAGUACAAAAGCUCAGUGCUUGAACAGGAACAGUUUUCGUACUUCGCCAGCUUGAGCCAUCCAAAAGUUACAGACAGGUUCCCAUAGUCAUGAGCUUGUCUUUAAAUAAAAAUCACACCAUGAGAUUUUAAUAACA